CUUCUGAAAAGAGAAACACAUAGUAAAGUUUGACAGGAUUCAAGUCGAAGUGCUUCGGCUUGAAUCAGAUAGUUGUAUCCUGCAAGAUAGACGUCCAAGGAACUACAAGCACAAGAAUAGGGACGAAUUUCUGUCUUAAGAGAUUGCUGCAAGCAAGCCUCUAUCUAUUAUCAACCUAUCAGCAGUUUAGGCGUGGCUAAAGUUUUGGAAUCUGGGGAUGCAAAGUUAAGCAAGGCGACUUGGUUUGGGGAAAGACUGGCUGGGAAGAGUAUGCCUGGUAUGACUGCCUAUGCUGGUUUUUAUGAGAUCUUCUCACCUAAGAAAGGAGAGACGGUCUUCGUUUCAGCCGCAUCAAGAGCGGUAGGUCAGCUUGUUGGCCAAUUUGCCAAGUUAGCCAGGUGCUAUGUUGUUGGGAGUGCUGGAAGCAAAGACAAGGUUGAUUUGCUGAAGAACAAGUUUGGCUUUGACCAGAAAGUCCGUAAAUGGAUCACAAAAGAGGUGGACUAAAGCAUGCACAAGUUUGGUUUAUGGGAAAUAAGUGAAGGUUCCACUCAUCAAUACUUUCACAACAGAGUAAUCGAAUAGCGGAUGCAGACGACAACUUGUAGUCCUCUCCAAUUGCACUCUUCUUUUCUUAUAAUUGCAUUUUCUACUUAAGAAAUGCCUAGGAAAAUUCUGAUGAAUUAUUUGCUAAAAUCAUCUUGUUGAACCUAUAUUAUGUCUUUCCUUUCCAUA